rnacentral:rRNA from 1 species
AACGAACGCUGGCGGCAUGCCUAACACAUGCAAGUCGAACGAAGCCUUCGGGCUUAGUGGCGCACGGGUGCGUAACGCGUGGGAACCUACCAUCAGGUUCGGAAUAACAGUUAGAAAUGACUGCUAAUACCGGAUAAUGUCUUCGGACCAAAGAUUUAUCGCCUUUUGAUGGGCCCGCGUUGGAUUAGCUAGUUGGUGGGGUAAAGGCCUACCAAGGCGACGAUCCAUAGCUGGUCUGAGAGGAUGAUCAGCCACACUGGGACUGAGACACGGACCCAACUCCUACGGGAGGCAGCAGUAAGGAAUAUUGGACAAUGGACGAAAGUCUGAUCCAGCCAUGCCGCGUGCAGGAUGAAGGCGCUCAGCGUUGUAAACUGCUUUUGGAUGGGAAUAAUAACCUCGACGUGUCGGGGCUUGAAGGUACCAUCAGAAUAAGCACCGGCUAACUCCGUG